rnacentral:miRNA from 1 species
CGAGACUCUCCAACGAUGGC